AGUUCAAAGAGAAAGUGAGCUGUCACUCAUCAAUCAUGUCUCACACCAACAUCACAACAUUGGCCGUAACUAGGCAGGUUUUCGAACAAUGGAAUCGAGCGUUGCUUCACUCCCUUCCUAUUUUAUAUAGAACCUAAAUACGAAGUUAGGCUCGGAGAGCGUUCGGGCUAGUCACGAACACUCAAGACGCUAUGGUUACUCAGUACUGUUCAAAUGUUUGAAGAGUUGAAAACAACCAUCGCGUGGGUUUUUAGACAAGAGAAAUAGAAAUAUAACGAAAAAGGAUUUCGCUGAAUUGGGAGGCAGGAGACAUUUCGCACAAAGCCUAUUAGGCGAAGGGAGAAAAGACAGUGAAACAGGAGAGAAUUAGCAGGGCUCGCUAGUGCUGAUUACGACAUUUAACUGAGAAGGUACUCACCAAUCAAAUCAAAUCCCGGAGGUGAAAAGAACAAAAAAGAAGUGAUAAAGCUCUCUUUGCACAAGUCGAGCGAAUGAAGACGGCUUCACGAAGGCUGAGGUUCAAAAGACAGAGGAAAAGUUAGCCAUAACACAAGCAACCAAGUAACGGAGUCACAACCGACAACCAAAUUCAGCUUACCGCUUGUGUUGGCUAUUGACGCUAAAAUGUCAAUACAAUGAUGAAGCUUGCUAUUGACAAUUUAAGCGAUGGUAGACGGUAACACGCAGGUUCUAUAAGUCCAAAAGCCAGUAAAUGUGAACCUCGCUAAACACGCAAAAA